GUAGGGGUGCGAGCGUUAAUCGGAAUUACUGGGCGUAAAGCGUGCGCAGGGUGGUUUGUAAGUCAGAUGUGAAAUCCCCGGGGCUUAACCUGGGAACUGCGUUUGAAACUGCAAGGCUAGAGUGUGGCAGAGGGGGGUGGAAUUCCGCGUGUAGCAGUGAAAUGCGUAGAGAUGUGGAGGAACACCGAUGGCGAAGGCAGCCCCCUGGGUCAGCACUGACGCUCAGGCACGAAAGCAUGGGGAGCAAACAGGAUUAGAUACCCUGGUAGUCCAUGCCCUAAACGAUGUCAACUAGUUGUCGGGUCUUAACGGACUUGGUAACGUAGCUAACGCGUGAAGUUGACCGCCUGGGGAGUACGAUCGCAAGAUUA
rnacentral:rRNA from 1 species